rnacentral:rRNA from 1 species
UUGGAGGGCAAGUCUGGUGCCAGCAGCCGCGGUAAUUCCAGCUCCAAUAGCGUAUAUUAAAGUUGUUGCAGUUAAAAAGCUCGUAGUUGAAUUUCGGGAUCAAUUUGUUGGUCGUGCCUCGGUACGUACUGGCAUUAUUGGUUUCUACCUUCUGAAGAACCUUGAUGUCAUUAAUUUGGUGUCUUGGGGAAUCAGGACUGUUACUUUAAGAAAAAUUAGAGUAGUUAAGCG